AUGAACUCUAACUCCAACCCCAACCCUUUCCCCUGGGGCAUUGGAUGGAGGGCCUUCUUCCUUUGGUGCUCGCUCGGUGACCGCAAGAAGUUCGAGCAAACCAUGGAAGUGUGCUCGAACUUCAGCAGCUGCGAUGACAUGCACAAGGAGGCCGAUGUUGUGCUCAAGAAGGCUACGCCGGACGAGCUGAAGACACUGGUUCCCGACCCAGCCGAGGGCGCGAUGUUAGCGGACAACCUGUGUUGGGCCAUGAAUCAGGCAUACUUCGGCGACGGUCGACAGCGGGCAAGAUGGGCCAAGUACAGUCAGUACAAGGCGCCUCAAGACUAG
rnacentral:rRNA from 1 species